rnacentral:lncRNA from 1 species
CUUUUUUCCUGGACCUUAACCUUUCAGGAAACUAAACUUAAGGAGAAUUAGGGUCAGAGGUAAUUUUUCCCUCUCUCUCUGUGUGUGUGUGUGUGUGUGUGUGUGUGUUUAAACAGGCUCUGAGUCAUGAAAUCCUUGCCUAGCUUUUAUCAGGGAUCAGAAGCGGAGAUCCAGGGGGGACAUCACUGUCGUCAGAGAGAUUAUCAACCUUCCAUGGGAUUCUUAACCAUUGCUGGGCACCAAGCAAAGGUUUUUAAAACAGCCUUUCCUCAGACGGUGCUUGAUAGUGGAAGGCGGGGAUGUCGUUCUUCCUCUGGGGAAGCCUUGGGACAGAAAGAAGCAACUCCUCACCCCACCCUCUCUGCGGGGCCAGCAAGGAAACACCGCCCAGGAGCUCCGUGCGUGGAGCUGGACGGGAGAGGCUCGGAGCUGGGUUUCCUCUUAGAGGAGAAGCAACCCCCCUUCAUUCUUGGGAGGACUCGGGUGCCUGUGGUGAGCAGCAGCCACUGCUCAGUCCUGGGAAACAGAGGAGGGGAUGAGCGGAUGGGGGGAACUGCUCCAACAUCCCAAUAAGUAAAAGCUGCGCAGAUUCCAUAGGAAGAGCCAAGCGAGGCAAGGCGUCCGGGACACAGACGACGACAUACCGCCGUGAACUCACUUCGCCCUGAGUGAAGACCUGGCGGAACUACUUCCCUCAGCCUCAGGUGUCUGUUCCUUGUCACUUCCUCCAUCCCGCUGCUCAGCCUAACCUGUUCCCCCUCCAGAAAACUAAGCCAAACAACGAGCCAACAAAGCCCCCUGCCCUCUGGAGGGGCUGCUCGGUUCCUUUGGGGGCAGAGCGCGAUUACCAAAGGGCAGGACACAGGAGUCCUGAUGCCCACCAGAGGAGGCUGAGCCGAGGGAAGGUGAACCAAGAGGAUGCUUUAUUUUUCUGCUGCAUUUUUCACAAGGAGGAUGUCCUGUAAGAGGCAGGUGGAAUUAUAACUAGAUUCCAGGCAGCAGAUUGGGGAGCUGUCAGGGACGCUGGCUAGGAGCUUGUGUCCCCCCAGAUUCCUAUGUUGAAGCCCUAAUCCCCAGUGUGACUGAAUAUGGAGCUGAGGCCUUUAGGGAGGUGAUGCAGGUUGAACAGGUCAUGAAGGUGGGGCCCUGAUGCAACAGGACUGGUGUCCUUAUAAGAGACACCAGGGAGUUCCUAUCUUGGCUCCACAGAAAUGAAUCUGACUAGUAUCCAUGAGGACAAAAGUUUGAUCCCUGGCCUUGCUCAGUGGGUUAAGGAUCCAGCGUGGCCGUGAGCUGUGGUGUAGGUUGGUGGCCACAGCUCCGUGGUAACAGCUCUGAUUAAACCCCCUAGCCUGGGAACCUCCAUAGGCUUCAUGUGUGGCCCUAAAAGGACAAAAGACAAAAAUAAAUAAAUAAAAAUAAAAAUAAAAAAUAAAGUG